CUAUGCCUAGCCUUAAACUUUGACCAAGACCCCAAAGGGUCACUCCGCCUAGCUACUACGAGCGCUAGCUUAAAAGCUAAGGACUUGGCGGUAUCUCAAACCCCCUAGAGGAGCCUGUCCUAGAACCGAUAAUCCCCGUUUAACCUCACCGCUGCUUGCCAAUCCCGCCUGUAUAUCGCCGUCGACAGCUUUCCCCUCAGGGCCCAAUAGCAAGCAAGAUAGGUCACUCUCCUAACACGUCAGGUCGAGACGCAGCUAACUGCAGCGGGAAGAGAUGGGCUACACUCCCUACCCAGGGACCACGAAAGGAGUCCUGAAAUUGGGCCCCGAAGGAGGAUUUAGCAGUAAGGAGAGACUAGAGCUCCCC
rnacentral:rRNA from 1 species